rnacentral:rRNA from 1 species
UACAGAGGGUGCAAGCGUUAAUCGGAAUUACUGGGCGUAAAGCGUGCGCAGGCGGUUUUGUAAGACAGCUGUGAAAUCCCCGGGCUCAACCUGGGAACUGCGGUUGUGACUGCAAGACUGGAGUACGGCAGAGGGGGGUGGAAUUCCACGUGUAGCAGUGAAAUGCGUAGAGAUGUGGAGGAACACCGAUGGCGAAGGCAGCCCCCUGGGCUAGUACUGACGCUCAUGCACGAAAGCGUGGGGAGCAAACAGG